UACGAAGGGGGCUAGCGUUGCUCGGAAUUACUGGGCGUAAAGCGCACGUAGGCGGCUUUCUAAGUCGGGGGUGAAAUCCUGGAGCUCAACUCCAGAACUGCCUUCGGUACUGGAGAGCUCGAGUCCGGGAGAGGUGAGUGGAACUGCGAGUGUAGAGGUGAAAUUCGUAGAUAUUCGCAAGAACACCAGUGGCGAAGGCGGCUCACUGGCCCGGUACUGACGCUGAGGUGCGAAAGCGUGGGGAGCAAACAGG
rnacentral:rRNA from 1 species